AGCGAACGCUGGCGGCAGGCUUAACACAUGCAAGUCGAGCGCCCCGCAAGGGGAGCGGCAGACGGGUGAGUAACACGUGGGAACGUGCCUUUUGGUUCGAAACAACCCAGGGAAACUUGGGCUAAUACCGGAUAAGCCCUUACGGGGAAAGAUUUAUCGCCAAAAGAUCGGCCCGCGUCUGAUUAGCUAGUUGGUGGGGUAAUGGCCCACCAAGGCUACGAUCAGUAGCUGGUCUGAGAGGAUGAUCAGCCACAUUGGGACUGAGACACGGCCCAAACUCCUACGGGAGGCAGCAGUGGGGAAUAUUGGACAAUGGGGGCAACCCUGAUCCAGCCAUGCCGCGUGAGUGAUGAAGGCCUUAGGGUUGUAAAGCUCUUUUAGCAGGGAAGAUAAUGACGGUACCUGCAGAAAAAGCCCCGGCUAACUUCGUGCCAGCAGCCGCCGCCGUAA
rnacentral:rRNA from 1 species